rnacentral:rRNA from 1 species
GGAUUAGAUACCCUGGUAGUCCACGCUGUAAACGAUGGGUACUAGGUGUUCGGGGUAUUGACCCCCUGAGUGCCGCAGCUAACGCAUUAAGUACCCCGCCUGGGGAAUACGGCCGCAAGGUUAAAACUCAAAGGAAUUGACGGGGGCCCGCACAAGCGGUGGAGCAUGUGGUUUAAUUCGACGCAACGCGAAGAACCUUACCUGGGCUAGACAACAUCGGACAACUCCAGAGAUGGAGCUUCCCCGCAAGGGGCCGGUGGUUCAGGUGCUGCAUGGCUGUCGUCAGCUCGUGCCG